rnacentral:rRNA from 1 species
CCUACGGGAGGCAGCAGUGAGGAAUAUUGGUCAAUGGACGAGAGUCUGAACCAGCCAAGUAGCGUGAAGGAUGACUGCCCUAUGGGUUGUAAACUUCUUUUAUAUGGGAAUAAAAUGUUCCACGUGUGGGAUUUUGUAUGUACCCUAUGAAUAAGGAUCGGCUAACUCCGUGCCAGCAGCCGCGGUAAUACGGAGGAUCCGAGCGUUAUCCGGAUUUAUUGGGUUUAAAGGGAGCGUAGAUGGGUUGUUAAGUCAGUUGUGAAAGUUUGCGGCUCAACCGUAAAAUUGCAAUUGAUACUGGCAGUCUUGAGUACAGGUGAGGUAGGCGGAAUUCGUGGUGUAGCGGUGAAAUGCUUAGAUAUCACGAAGAACCCCGAUUGCGAAGGCAGCAAGCUGGCUGGAAACUGACGCUGAGGUGCGAAAGCGUGGGUAGCAAACAGGAUUAGAGACCCCUGUAGUC